CAUGCCCAAGAGGAAGGUCAGCUCGGCCAGGGGUGCUGUGAAGGAGGAGCCCAAGAGGAGAUCAGCGAGGCUGUCAGCUAAGCCAGCUGCAAAAGUGGAAACGAAGCCCAAAAAGGCAGCAGGCAAGGAGAAGUCUUCUGACAAAAAGUGCAAACAAAAGGGAAAAGGGGGGCAAAGGGAAAACAGGCUGAAGUGGCUAACCAAGAAACUAAACAAGACUUACCUGCAGAAAAUGGAGAAACUAAAAACGAAGAGUCCAGCCUCUGAUGAAGCAGAAGAAAAAGAAGCCAAGUCUGAUUAAUAUUUGUCUACCAUGUCUUAUCAGUGGUCCCUGUAUCUCCUUCCUUGUACAAUCCAGAGCAAUAUUUUUAUCAACUAUUUUGUAAAUGCAAGUUUUUUAGUACUUCUAGAAACAUUUUUAAGAAGAAGGAAAUCCCAUUUCAUCCCAUUUUUUAAGAGUAAAUGCUUUUUUUUUUUAAGAGGUGACAUCAUUUGCUGUUUGUUUAUUUUUUGGUACAACCAGAAAAUAUGGGAUGUUAAAAUUGUGGGGGAGCUUUGGAUGUCAGUGUA